GGCAGGUAGGAAGUGAUGAUGGCGGCUCUAGCAAUAAAUCGCAUCUCCGACACUGCAAGUCCAGCGGCCACAAGUCUCAAGGGGAUGAUCUACUAGCCGUAAUCUUAUAUUACGAGAGGAGAGAAAAUGCAUUUGGGUGAAUCUCGAUCGGAGCUACCUAGCUGGCCAUGUUCAAGUGAAAAGGACUUGGCUGAGAGGAAGUCAUCAGGAGUCCAAAAAUCUUCUGUGGAAGAAAUGUUGUGAGGACUUCUGAUAAAUGAAAAAAGAAGAAAGUAGGAGCUGAGUGAGGUAAUGACUGAUACAUCAUGUCCUCGAGUCGAACUGUGUAGCAAUUAUUACCACGGCAAUAGUAUAGGCC
rnacentral:sRNA from 1 species